CCACGAUAUCACAUGCAUCACAGAUGUCCCAACUAUUAUCUCUUGUUGCUGCCUUUAGGCCCCUUACAGUUUAAGUUCAUUAUGAUCUCUUUCCAAUAACUUAGUUAGAAACUCAUCCAGUCAAAAGAGGGUCCUAACCCUGCAACAUGGCAAUGAGGACAAUGUACAAGAAGACAAAUAGUUUAGAAAACCUUUAUCAAACUAUGCUAUUAGUCUCCCACACUCUCUUUAACUGUCGAAAGAAAAGAAUUGAGUAUGAAACAUUGAAAAUGGAGUGUCAAAUCUUAUACUGAACUCCUUCCAUUAAUGUCCAAACGAACCAUAAUAAAAUUAAACAGUAGUAAAACUUUCCAUCCUAAUCAACCAAAUUCUAGAGAUAGAAAAUAUUCAAGUGAUGCUUAUUGAUCCUUGCUCAGUCUUUCUAGUUUUUAUAAUAAACAACUGUGGAAUAUUAGGACAAGAAAAGAUGCUAGUGACUCUCAAGAUUAAUGGGAAAUGGCCAUAAAAGCAACCUCUCUUUUAUUAGUUACUGUUUAUUCUUGUUAACAAGGUGUUCCCAAAGUCUGACAUGAAGAAGUUCAAAUGAUUUUAGUCUCCUUAUUUAACUGUGCCCCUCGAAGAUAAACUCCCAGUUCACUUUCGUUCUUCGUUAUGAUUCUCUUUGUUUAUAUUCAACGUACUGCUAAAUAUAGUAGCUGUACUAAGACACACAGAUUUUCAAGGUUGCUUAUGUGUACUUUUAUGUCCCUUGUGUGCUGCAGAAUGGAAAGUUGUUGAGAAGCAUAAAGUCCCAUACUGUUGCUAUUGUUUGUCUUAAUUGGGAGGAAGAUGGAACAAAGAAUGAUCUUCAUUCUUAGCUGAAGGAACUAAUUCCUGAACAGCAUAUGGCUAAGGAUGGGAAAAUAGUUUUCAAGCCUGGGGAAUUGGCCCUUGAGACGAAAAACUACUUAGAAAAAAGAAAGAAGUUAAUUGAAGAGAACUGUGCAAAGAUUGAAGCUCUGGGGUGUAAGCAAUUGGCAAAUCCGUUUUUAAAGAAAAGUACAACUGCUGGAAAGAGAAGACACAAGACGGAUUGUGUUGUUAAUGAUGACGUGGAUUGGCAACCGGCAAAUGGUGAGGAUGGGAGUAGUUCUUGCUUCGAAGAUGAUGAAUGUUUCUUGGAAGAUGAAGAAUGUUCUGAGGGUCGAUUGAGUAAGGUAAUGCAUGUUUGUGUGGAAUAUUAAAUAAGAGUUGUUAUUAUUUUUUUUUGGUUAAUGUUUAUCCUUGUUACACUACGUCCAAUUAAGCAAUUUUCACUUUGCUGCAUUCAUCAUAUUAUUUUAAUUUUGAUGUAGGUGGCUACUACAAGAAAGCGUGUACAAUUGUCAGCUGGACCAAUGAGUGCUAUAUUGCAGCCUUUGUCUACCAUUAAUCAAGACCAACAUGGAAAUCAGCAAGUACAGUUGCAGGAGCAGGCGCAACCAUAGGUGCAAGCAAAGCGAGUGCGAUAUUAGGCUGCACCCAUGAGUGCUACAUUGCAGCCUUCGCCUACCAUUAGUCAAGACCAGCAUGAAAAUCAGUCAGCACAAUUGCAAUGGCAUGCACAGCCGCAAGUGCAAGCAAAGCGAGUGCGAUGUCGGGCUGCACCUAUGAGUACUAUAUUACAGCUUUUGCCUACCAUUAGUCAAGACCAGCAUGGAAAUCAACUACCUCCAAACUAUCAUGAGUUUCAGUCACCAUCUGAUGAAGUGGCAGGUCAUGUAAAUGAGAGAGCCGUGGAGCUUGAAUCACAUCAACAAUCUAUGAGCAGUCACACUACUUCAAACUUGCAGUCGCUGGAACAAUGCAAUGAAGGG